AUGUAAGCAUAAGAUACCCAAGCCAAAAACAGCAACCCUUCCAGGUCCCUUUCCACCACGUGGAAGCUUUCCUUUCACUUUCGCUUUAAUAAAUCUUGCUGCAGCACACUCUCUAAUCGAGCUGUAACAGUCGCCACUGCGGUCCACGACUUCAUUCCUUGAAGCCCGUGAGACCACGAACCCUUCGAUUGAGAAGAACCUUCGGUCGGAAAACUUCUCGUCUCAGUAACAAUAACAAGACAAACAACCUAGACUAGACGCACAUCAGGAAGACAGGUACCCAGCAUAACCCCAUUGGAGAGCUGUUCCCUGGGACCUAGAGAGGAACACAGCAGGCUGCCAUGCCCACUGCACCUGCAGCCGCAGAAUAAACAUGUGGAGAAGGUCAUUGAUCACCUUGACUGCAGCACUGCAGACAAGAUAAAGAGAGCCUGAUGCAGAGGAAGACUGAGGACUAAGGGACCUCAUCCACAGUUAAUCCCUCCAUGUAUUGAUCCGGAAACAUAAUCUCAUUUGCCUAUAAGACAGAGAGAGAGAAUAAUAGAA
rnacentral:lncRNA from 1 species